rnacentral:lncRNA from 1 species
UGACGGCAAUGAACUCCGGAGGCAGAAUAAAAAACAUGGAUAUCAACGUUCGGCGGUUAACUCCCUCCAAAACAAACGUGACCUUGAAUUUAGUACGGCGUUCUUUUAUUGGUCAGUUAAAUUUUACCACCUCCGACUGUGAUUUUAGUCGAAAAACAAUGGUCACGGACUCUGCAUCGAUUGUUUUUUUUCGCACGUUUUUCCUCGUAAUACAUUCGCGUCGAGAUUUUUACGAAUAGUUCGCUUUAGGAGAAUCGUGUGCCGAGUACUUGGCUCGCGUGAUCGAAAAUCAAAAGUUUUUUAUAGCUAGCGAUCGUGGGAAUCGAUGAAUAGUGAGAAUCUCUCUCAGGGUAAAUUCUCGAGUUGCGAAUUCGCCGAGGGCGGCGCUGCUGUGCGCAGAUUCAGCUUUCCGUGAAAAAAAGGUGUUCGUAAACAAUUCACUUGUGCUGUGGAAUUCGAUUUUUACUGGCAAAGAAAUUCGAACUAUUCGUCUGAAUCGUAGGAGGCGAAAAAUGAGUUGAGGUUUGGACAUUUUUUUUUACAAAGAACGAAGGAGAAUCAUUUCCGUCAGAGUUUUGAGGAAAAACAGCUUGCAAUCGCUCCCUCAAAAACCUCUUUAUUUUUGUCUCUCUUUUUUCCAUCGCCCGGCCAUUCUAUAUGUUUCUUACAAAAAUGUCCGAGGCGAAUGCGAAAUUCUGGCGUUCGGCGUCGUGCAUACGCGAGGCUCGAGAUGACGAAAAAAAGCGUAAAUGGAAGAGGAACGCGAUGCAGAAAAGGCGAGCAGAGUCGAUGAGCGCCUGAGACGAGAGAAAGAAAAAUUUGGCCAUGACCUUCGGGUUUGCCGCAAACUCUGACCUCGCCCCAUCCGCGAGAGGGCAACCAGCUAUAAUUGCAUCCCACGCGCGCGGAUCUCUCGUACAUAACAUCGAUCUGUUACAGACCCUGAAAAAAAUCUUAUCCGGUACACGAAAUAAUAUGAAUUACAAGAGAAUAAAAAACACUUGAAAAACUUCAUGAUCGCAGUUAUUAUGCUAACGAUACUCGAGUGUAAAGCGACCCCGAUAUAGUGAAAAAGCCCAAACGAAUUUUUGACGAGAACAAAAGUUGAGUGAAACACAAAGCAAAUAUCACAAUCCGUCUCUACCUCGGAACUGAUUAUCUCUAGCGAAAAAUCGCUGCAAGCAUACUCUACGAUGGUCGAACGAAGAGUGCAUGUCAACAGAUUCAUUUCUUCAGUCUCAAUUACAAUUCGUGCUAGAACGACGUUGACGUGUCUCCGUUGUCGUGUCCAUUUCGUUGGGAAACCUCCGACGAGCUCAUUAUUCUCUGAUGGAAUUUAAUUAUGCAGCCAGAUACAUAUCUUAAAAGUAAUGUGGAACGGAGAUGCAGCAGUACAAGAGAGAUAACUCAUUCCCACCCUAAAUCUCCGAUCUAAUUUUCUUCGAAGAUGCUUCGAUCUUUCUCACUAGUGUGAUCACCCUUUUCUCCACUCUGCAUUAUUUCACCAAUUAUAACUUUCUUGCGAGUUUCGACGUUGAAUUAAUUUUAACGAUCUUAUUUAUGCUCGUUCACGUACUUUCGAUGGACGAAGUAUACUGACAAUAUUCAUUCAUACGAAAUCGCGAGUGUGGGUUCGAAAAAAGGCAACGAAAAAAUCUAGUCAUCAUUGUUCUUGAAGCUCGUCGACGGUCUUUUAUUCGGUAAGUGUUUCUUUCUACGCACGUAAUGCGGACGUGGAAAAAUGUCAAUUUCGAGUACAAGUCACGUUGGAUCGAACGAAUGAGUUCCGUGAGUAUUUAGAAAAAAAAUAUUUUCUAUUCGUAGGCCCAACGUUGACGGCAUUCACUCCGAGCCCACCCGUCAAUCAAAUUUCUAAAUUUCAAUAGUUUACACAGAUUUUAAGCUUGCGGAAUUCGUAACGAUGGGAAAGUUCUUUCUAAUGCGUAUUUUUCUUCAAUAAUUUGCUAUUGUUUCCACAAAGAUCUGAAUGUGCGUCUCUAAGUACCUCGGUUGAAAAUAGAACGUCUUUUCACAGCCAGAAACGUACGAUGUAAUUUCCAUUUUUGAGUUUCUCACGAAACUCCUUUAACGGCGUCGAUUUUUUUCUUCUUUUUGUGUCUCUUCGCUCGCAUCUCGCAACCUGCACAUGACGACAUCUGUUGGAGGUUUUUACAACUAUUCCGAACGACAGAGGCGCCACGUUCGAACGGAGGCAUUGCGCGAUCUCUCCGUUCAACGUGGGCGUAGGGCACCAAAAAUCUACGAUUUUUCUCAGUACCGAGUUCUUUCGGUUUCGUCUCCAUCAGCAUCUAAAUUUGCAGAAACGAAAUUAUCAACAGGGACAAUCAUUGAAAAAUUAAUUAUCGAAUGAUCUUGAUGACUAUUAAAAAUUUUAUUUUUAGCAA